AUUGAACGCUGGCGGCAUGCCUUACACAUGCAAGUCGAACGGCAGCACGGGAGCAAUCCUGGUGGCGAGUGGCGAACGGGUGAGUAAUAUAUCGGAACGUGCCCGGUCGUGGGGAUAACGUAGCGAAAGCUACGCUAAUACCGCAUACGAUCUACGGAUGAAAGCGGGGGAUCGCAAGACCUCGCGCGAUUGGAGCGGCCGAUAUCAGAUUAGGUAGUUGGUGAGGUAAAGGCUCACCAAGCCGACGAUCUGUAGCUGGUCUGAGAGGACGACCAGCCACACUGGGACUGAGACACGGCCCAGACUCCUACGGGAGGCAGCAGUGGGGAAUUUUGGGACAAUGGGCGCAAGCCCGAUCCAGCAAUGCCGCGUGCAGGAUGAAGGCCUUCGGUUGU
rnacentral:rRNA from 1 species